GAGAUUCUUCAAAGUAUGUGUUAUUUCAUAGUUUUGAUGUCUUCACUAUUAUUCUACAAUGUAGAAAAUAGUAAAAAAUAAAGAAAAACCCUGGAAUGAGUAAGUGUGUCCAAACUUUUGACUGGUUCUGUAUGUGUCAGAUGUUUUUAGUUUAAGGAUAAACCAAUACCAACCAGUUAAGGAGAUCUUCACUUCCCAAAACUAGUUUCACACAAGUCUGGGUCUAUUUUUGGAUUAUGAAUACAAGGAACCAUAUACUACUCUACUCUCAUUUGAAUAUUGCACUUGAAAAAUAAAUGACUUGAAAACAGCCUCUUGUCUUGUACAUCUAUGAUAUUGCAACUCUGUAGAUUACAGUGGACUCUAUAGAUUACAGUGGACUCUAUAGAUUACAGUGGACUCUAUAGAUUACAGUGGACUCUAUAGAUUACAGUGGACUCUAUAGAUUACAGUGGACUCCUGAAAAAGGCAAUGGCUUGGGACUGUUGUGCCAGAGUAUGUAGUUGUCAGGAGCAAGCUAUUGAAAAUCAUGUCAUUGAAAUGAGACUGGAAAACUGUAUUGUACUUAAAGAAUUCACAUUUAUUGAAAGAGCACUUAUCAAGAGUCGAAUGUACAUAAUAUAUUUCAAAGUGUAAAACUGAUUAGAUUAAAUGUUAAAUCAAAAACUAUUUCCAUCACCUCCCAAAAGAAAACAAAAAACACCUCUCACCUUUCUCAGCCAGGGUGCAGCAAAGGAGACAGAGGAAGAUUGCACAACACAGACAGAGUGCAGACAUCGUGCUAAAACAACAAGAGCUUCACAACUAACAAAUAGCAGGAAAUAGACAGUAUGUCUAUACCACAGUGAUGUCUGCUCUAGAACCACUCCACCAAUAGGAACACGAAGUAGGCCUACUUUACAGUUAGGUUCUGAACAAAUGAGGUAGGCAUAAUAAACCAAGACAUUACAAAAUAACAUAAAGAGAAUCAAGACCUGAACUUAUUUCAGUUGCAAUUGUGGGUGUCAGUAUGUGACAGAAUCAUAUGUUAGGGAAUCAUAGGUUAGGGAUAAAUGAGGUUUAACAACAAAACAUAAUUAUUUGAUUUGAACUUUUACUUCACUACAUUCCAAAACAAAAUAUGUACUUUUUACUCCAUACAUUUCCCCUGACACCUGUGGAGGAAAUGAAUAUUCAUGACAUACUAUACUGUUUAAUUAGACAUAGAAUGCUGUUUUCUACGUAAAGAUUGUCCAUUGUUAAAUGCUAGUAUUUUUUAUAACCUGAUACAAAGUUGCCUUUGUGUGACUUAGUCACAAGACUGGGUGAUUUCGUAAGAACCGUUUGGGUGUGACCGCAGCAUGUGACACAUCCCGUGGUUUUCUGCAGGAACUCAGCUGUAUGGGAAGUUGCAGGAAGGAGCACAUUAUAGUGUGAACUGUGACAAACGCAGUUACAUGGUUGAGCCCUUGUGCUAUCAACCUCCGGCUAUCUUAAUCUGCACUGACAAACCAAUCGCCUUUUAGACACUAUGCUCCGCCCAUUUCCACCCAUCUGCUAAACUGCCACAAAGACAGAGGUUGCAUUUUCUAUAAAAGCUGAGAGCCAACGCUAUUCGUUGGGCUUUCUGACUAUGCACUGUUGAGUGAUUGUCAUUUAUUGCUUCAUUUUUACAAAUCUUAUAAUAAAGUUAUUUGAUAGAAUCUGCAGUCUCUCUUCCUAUAGAAUGUCUACCACACACCCAAAAGUACUGGUUACAUUUCAAAUGCUUAGCAGGACAGGAAAGCUGCCCAAUUCAAACAAACAUCCCUGGUAAUCCUUACUGCCUCCGAUCUGGCGGACUCACCAAACACAAAUUAUUCAUUUGUAAAUUACGUCUGAGUGGUGGCUAUCCGUAAAUAAAUGUUUAAAAAAUAAAUAAAAAAUGGUGCAGUCUGGUUUGCUGUAUAUUUUAGCAAUUACAUUUACCUUCGAUAAUUAAGUAUAUUUAAAACCAAAUACUUUUAGACAAGUAGUAUUUUACUGGGUGGCUUUCACCUUUACUUGAGUCAUUUUCUAUUAAGGUAUCUUUACUUUUACUCAAGUAUGACACUGGGUAUUUGUUCCACCACUGUUGGAUUCUGGGGUAAACUUUGAACAUUGUUAUACUCAGAAGUAUAGGAACAUUAGUUACAUAAGAGACAUGAAGCGUGCCAUAAUGAAGUUUGGGAGGGGCUGAGUGCAGGGAAAACAAUCGCAUGUGACAGUACUGAUAUCACUUAGUUCCCUGCUUAGCAAGAAUGACGCAAUGUUUAGCGAUAAGGUGGAGACUCCACCCAAAGUUGGGUAUGAAUACUACCACGGGGGAGGCCAUGUCUGUGUCUGAAUUACAGCUGUAUUGACCCUUUGGGAAGAAUUAAACUUGGUUAAGCUUCUCUAGUGUCUGAGUUAUUUACUCAAAAUUAGAACCUAACAUUACAUAACAUAUCCUCUAGUCCCAGACAUGAUAGAGGUGAAUGGUUCACUACAUAACAUAUCCUCUAAUCCCAGACAUGAGAGGUGAAUGGUUCACUACAUAACAUAUCCUCUAGUCCCAGACAUGAGAGGUGAAUGGUUCACUACAUAACAUAUCCUCUAGUCCCAGACAUGAGAGGUAAAUGAUUCACUACAUAACUUAUUCUCUAGUCCCAGAAAUGAGAGGUGAAUGGUUCACUACAUAACAUAUCCUCUAGUCCCAGACAUGAGAGGUGAAUGGUUCACUACAUAACAUAUUCUCUAGUCCCAGACAUGAGAGGUGAAUGAUUCAAGUAUUCUAUAUCAGCUAUGUUUUUUUUAAAAGGCAGUAAAUGAGGAUGGCAGUAAACUUAACCUGGGUAUGUGGUAAGCUGAUCCUCCAGACAGUGGAAGUUAAGCUUUCUACACAUUUCUGUACUGAAUGAAAUAUUAUCACUACCUUUAUAAAACAAUGUCUAUCUUUAUUUUCCAAACACAAUUCAACACAAUCACUUUGUCUUUUAAUGAUUUUAAGCAUAUUUUAUCACAGGCUUAACACCUUACAAAGGCUUUGUACUUUUUAAAACAUUUUUAACAUAGGCCACCCCUGUUGUCAAAUCAAAAUUGUAUUUGUCACAUGCGCUGAAUACAACAGGUGUAGACCUUACAAUGAAAUGCUUACUUACAAGCCCUUAACCAACAUUGCUUUAAGAAGUUAAGAAGAAAAACGUGUUAACAUAGAUAAAAGUAACAAACAGCAGCAGUAAAAUAACAAUAGCGAGGCUAUAUACAGGGGGAACCGGUACAGUAAAUGUGCGGCAAUUUUGUGAAACUCAUGAGAGACAAUACGGCCACAUUACCAUAACGCUGUUUAUAUAAUAGCCUCAGGGCACCGCUUGCAAGCCUCCCUUUUUCCUCCUAACAUAACGAUGGUCAUUAAUGCCAAAGAGUUCUAUUUCUGUUUCAUCAGACUAGAGGACAUUUCUCCAAAAAGUACGAUAUUUGUCCACAUGUGCAGUUGCAAAUCGUAGUUUUAAUAGCAGUUUUGGAGCAGUGGCUUCUUCCUUGCUGAGCGGCCUUUCAGGUGUCAUGACAUUGCCCUCUUUGGACACAGCGAGCACCAUCUCCCUCUGUCUCCUACACCCAGGCUGCUGUGUUCAGAGAGGUCGUAAAUUCCUGGAGGAGACUAUCUCCUCAUGGCCACAGUAUAGAGAGUGAGUUUUUAUAGAGAGAACAAAGGAAUUUCUUCCACCUCACAGAACUGGAGGUCCGAACAAUAUUUAUGUUCUGGAGAAUGUAUAAAAGAUUGGUGAAGAAUCCAGCUACGAACUGGUCCGUUUGGUACAAUUUUGUGAAACUCAUGAGAGACAAUACGGCCACAUUACCAUAACGCUGUUUAUAUAAUAGCCUCAGUUAUGAGGCUUACAUCUAAUUGUUGUAUAAAAUGAAUGAGUGAGGAUGGAACUGUUUGUGAAAUUGUGUAAUGUGAUUUUGGACUGUUUAAUGAAGGAAACUCCAAUUCCCUUUUGGAGUUUAACUAAUCAGAGGACCACCCAUGAGCACAGUUAUGGUCUGGUGUCAUGGGACUGGCCCUUUUCUGCUCUUCUAAAUAAAAUCCCCACCUAGGUUUUCUAUCACCAGACCAGCUUACCUCGAUAACGAGAGGGCUAAGGUUUGAGACGAGACCAGCUUACCUUGAUAAUGAGGGGCAAGGUUUGAGAGGAGGCCAAGCUUACCUCAAUUACGAGAUGGCUAAAGGUUGCAGACCAUGCAUUUCUCUUGCUGAACUUUUAACCAUACCAUGUGGUUAAACUCUUAGACUAUCGAUACCGACAGAAUAAGAACAAGUCUUUGAUAUUAAUUACUAGUCUGCAGCUAGGAAUUCGGUAUCAUUGAACGCGAAGACCGACAACCGCCAAAACAGCUAAUCUAUAACGUCAUGAAUGAAUGUUACUCUGAACUAUCCAUUCUAACCACAACAGAGAGAGAGACAGAGAGGACAGAGACAGAGAGGACAGACUCUCCAACAGAAACAAACUUUUCAACAGAGAUCCCGAUGACACACUGAACUCUAACAUCAGGUUUUAGUCACAAUAUAUGAAAGAAUAGUCUGGUGUGGUUAACAACUACAGACAAUGCUGUUAACACUUAGCUUGGUAGCAGGAUAAUGCAUGCACUCCAUUUCUCCUGCAGAGGGGGAACACAAUAGUGUUGAACCAGAUUGUUCUCUCUUCCAGGCAAAGCAUUAACAUUCAGUUAGCUGUGUGGCGUGAGAGACAGAGCAGACAUGACACCGACAGGGAAGAGAGCCCAUAACACUCCGGAUAAUACAUCUGUCGCUACGGAAACAGUCCUGUCCUGGUGCUGGAGUCGUGCUCUGCUGGGACUGCUGUAUCCUCAGGCUCUGGUUCCAUAGGGGACAAUAGGAAUACCAACACUGUUAUACACCAUUUUACCACACACAUUUUAUACACUGCAUUUUACUAUGAAUUUGAUCGUUUUGACAGGAAUCCCUCUUCGAUUAGGUAGACAAAAAUAAUAUACUCAAACAUUCUGCCACAAAAGAGUCUUCCUGUGCCACUGGUUCAUCUGGAAAGAGAAACCAGAAGCAACCUUUUACAGGGGUUGAUACUGUGUGCUCUACCAUGUUUUGUGAUUUGUUACAGAGACAAUUGAAUAACAAAUCCUGAAUUCCCAUCUGGGGAGGAGAAGGAGAGCAAUAGAGAAACUAAAACAAUAAAAACUAAACUAAGUGAUCUUGUCGAGGAGUUAGUUCUCCAUUCCACUUAUAUAGCAACAUCCUGGCAUUUAGCCAGAACAGAAAGUACUCUCCUAAUCUUCCCAGACCUCUGCAUUCCUCUCGGCAGAGAUUGUCAAAUGCAAGGUCGUGUUCACUAGGCACGAAAUGGAAAGAAGCAGUCUGAAAUGGGGAGGAACUAUCUGAAUAACUUCUUGAAGCAUUUUGCAACAGUGUGUCCUAAUGGACAUGACCCUGGGUGCUCAUGUUGUCUGAGUCUUCUGGCUUGAAACAGCUUGAGAAGCAGCAGUCCAAUGGCAAGAGAGCCUACUACCACAAAUACAGCAGUCACAUUCUUGUAACUGUUCUUUGGAAUUUCCUUUUGAUUUGCAGCAUUCUCAGGAACCUGGUGCUGGUCUCAUACUGUAACACACAAAAUCAGAAUCAUUAAAAAUGAAAAUCAUGUCACAUUCAGGUAUGCGAUCAGGGAUGCAAUGAAUUAAGUCAUGUUUGUAGGGUGAGUCAAUUUAUAUUGGAUACUAAUAGAUGAUAAUGUCAGAAAAGCAAGAUUUCUUGAUGGAUCAUCUGCACAGUGGAAAUCAUGAUGCAAAAAGGAGAAUACUAAACAGUCAGUGUUAGAGUGUGAGGAAGGCACUUUGAAUUCCAAACUAUGUGUUAAGCCCUUAGUUUUUCCUGACUGGGAAAUACUCAGGGCCCUACCUAUAAACAUUGGCCUCCAAAAGCUUUGAGCUCACCUGUGACCUUCAGCAUGAAGUUACAAUUUGUGUUUCCACUGUCAGUGUUCACCACACACUCAUACGGACCCUCUUCUUCAGGCUGGGUUUCUUUAACCAACAGGGACACAACUUUGUCUCUCAUUGGCAGGUGGCAUGGAAAGCUGAUAUUUUGGGCUCAGCAGCAUCCUGGGAUUGGAGGAUUGUAUAUAUAUAUGUGAACACAGGUUCACCUUUGUAAUGACCAUUCUGGUCCAGCCUCCACAACCUGCUUUAUGUUUACAUUACCAGGGGAUUCCUCACUGAACUUCACAGAGCAGUCUAGGACUGCAUCCUUCCCAGAUUCCACCUGGAUGACCUGCUUCAACUCUGAGCGCUGGUUUAGAC
rnacentral:lncRNA from 1 species